rnacentral:rRNA from 1 species
AUUGAACGCUGGCGGCAGGCCUAACACAUGCAAGUCGAACGAGUGGCGGACGGGUGAGUAAUGUCUGGGAAACUGCCUGAUGGAGGGGGAUAACUACUGGAAACGGUAGCUAAUACCGCAUACCAUCGGAUGUGCCCAGAUGGGAUUAGGUUGUUGGUGGGGUAACGGCUCACCAAGGCGACGAUCCCUAGCUGGUCUGAGAGGAUGACCAGCCACACUGGGACUGAGACACGGUCCAGACUCCUACGGGAGGCAGCAGUGGGGAAUAUUGCACAAUGGGCGCAAGCCUGAUGCAGCCAUGCCGCGUGAAUGAAGAAGGCCUUCGGGUUGUAAAGUUCUUUCAGCGGGGAGGCGUUACCCGCAGAAGAAGCACCGGCUAACUCCGUGCCAGCCGCCGCGGUAAUUC